CAACCCUCGGCAGGAGGGACGGGAAAGCCACUGCCUGCUCAAAUGUGUAUGGAUUAAAAAUAUACAAAUGGAAUAUUUUUUUCUUCCCCUCUCCUCAACCCCCUGAAGCCUAGGAUGCUUGUUAAAAAUAGCCUUGCUGUGGCAUGGAUCCUACACAACCCAACGGCUGGCAGAAAAAUUAAGGAGCCACUGGAGACAGCGCUGUUAAGUGGCUACCCCUGGGGAGUGGAAUGGGGAGGGCCAGGAGGGAGGGAGGUGCUUUCAAGUGUUGCCGGACACACUUCUACAUUGCCUGGAUUUUUAACAACAAGCAGAUAUAAAAUAAGUUCAUUGUUUUUUACUGGAGUUUCAUCCUUUGCAUCCUCCAGCCUACGUUUAAGGCUGAAUUCAUACUUAGUGACCCGACAGUACCUGCUGGCUGGCCUGGCAGUGCUCCAAGGAGACCCAGGACGCUCAGGCCACCCGGUACAAACACAGCCCAGCAUCAAGAAAACAGCACUGAAUCAGUCAGUCUUGGAUCUGUAACCAGCUGGCUGUGCGACCUUAGCCCACACUCUGGAGGCCGCAUUGCUGGCUGGUUAAGAAAUGUGGGCUCUGGAAUCAGGGAUGAACCCAGGAAGCCCUUGAGGAUUGCUGCCACUCAAAAUCCCCUGGACUCUUGUUGGUGACGGGGCAGGAGUGGAGAGGAGGACAAAGCCGGCAGCCAGCAAAGGAGGGCCCAAGUUCAAAGGUGUUAAAAGACCCGUGGCUUUGGGUGUCUCAACCAGCAAACUUCUCCUCCCUCACGGACUUUCUACAGGCUUGCAAGCCAACUGGUUUCCCCAGUGGGGAAAGUAUACCACCACUGUCUAAAAGGAGGGCCUCUCGCCAUGGAUGUGCUACAAGAGGAGAUAACAAAUGCAUUUGGGUUUCCAAUGGCCCAGCUGCACCGUGUUAAGAAAAACGCCGUUUUCCUGCUCUUAAUCCAUUCCUGGUGGAGAUGUUGCUUCAACUUGAAGGAGCCUUUUAUGUGCUGAAGUCAACUGCAAUCUAAAAGAUAAGUUAAAUCACUUAUUCAGGAAGACAGGAAGCCUUUGACAGCAGUGACUGAUUAAGAUUUCACAGCAGCCAGAGCCAGGCCUACGGAACCCAAAGAGUGCUCGUUCCCUCACCAACCAGCACUGUUGGCCCCUCCUUGGCAGCAAGCCAAGCUCAGAAUCCUACCCUCGGGGAGAUUUCCCUCUGACAGAGCAUGGAGGGGGCUGGAGCAGACAGAGGGGAGUGCUAAGUCCCAGCAGGUGAACCUGAGAGCCCUGAUGACAGGAACUAGAGAUACCCCACCCUCUGCCCAGCCCCCUUCCUCACCUCCAUUUAGCCUUGGCCUGGUCUCCCAUGGUCAGCUCAAGGGUCCCCUCUUCCAGGAAGCCUUCCCUGACCCUACAGGCCAGGACUCGCAGGUGCCUUUACACAACAUGUUCCUAGAGCACUUGUACUUUACCCCAUCCUCGCACCUUUGACUCUGAAGACUUGCCUGUCACCUGGCAUGGCAGCCACUUGACUGUGAGCACUCUGGGGGCAGCACAUGGUACCAUGCUGGAUGCCCACUAAGCUCUUGGCACGUGUUUGGAAGGCAGAGGAACCUGAGCUCAGGGAACAGAGUGACUACCUGCCUUGCCAGUGUCACCUGCCAGCUUAUCCAAGUGCUCACAGCCCUGCUGGCUGCUAACCACUGGGCCAGGCCCUGGGGGCAUCCGCAGUAUUCCAACAGGGCUUCUUGUCCUAAAAUGCCACCCAGGCCCCAAAGGCCCACUGUUAGAAUCCACUCUUUUAGCAAAGCAUCACCUCCAGAAAGUUCCCAUCCCCAAGAGGAGGCACAGUCUCACCCUGUGGUCCUCUUCAUCUGCUUGGCCAGCCAGGGAUGGGGCUCAGGGGAAGGAUUAAUCUAGGGCCCAGGAUGCUGACCAGGGUGAGCAGGCUGGAGGAGGCACUGGGGUGGGCAGUCCAUGGGCAGCCUGGGGGCACUGGGUCCAGAAGAUGAAAGUAUGCCUCAAGGGCAUCAAGGUAAGAUCCCAACUUUACACAUGAACAAAACCCUCAGAAGAGCAGAACUGGGCUAAGUUCAGGACAGAAGAGAUGUGCAAGCAGGUGAGCAAAUGAUGUCAAGGUUGGAGGUGAGCUGAAAGGCGCAGGGGGUAGCUCUGUGGAAAGCACAGUGUUCACUGUGUUGGGAGGGCUGGGACCCAAGUUACUCCACCCCUAGUCCCCCACUUCUGCACCAGUGGUAGCCCUGGGCAGGCCAUCAACCUUAGAUAUCUGAAUAUGAGAAUCAUCAUCUGCCCUGCCUGCCUUGCACAACUACUGCUCUACAUUAAAUCAGAAAGGAGAUGAGAAAAUUCUCUAGAAGCCUAAAAGCAAUAUAGAAAUAGAAACUGUUGUAACAAUCAUCAUUUGCUUUUUCAGAGUGUCUUGCAGCCUGUAUAGGGCUUUCCUAUCCAGUAACCUCCUAACCCUCAAAACAACUCUGGGAGAUAGGUAUGGAUAUGUAUACUCAAUUUACAGAUGUGAAAACUGAGGAACAGAUAGUUCCAGCCCAGAAUCACACCAAUAACAAGGGGCUGAGGUGACAGCUAUGUCCAGGUCUUCUGCUGCAAAUAGAGUAUUCUAUUUACCACACCAAGAUGUACCCUCCAUUGUCUAAAAUCACAAGCUCUGGCUGUACAGAAAACCCUCCUUAUUCUUCAGUCUUUCUAUGGAUUUGUUGAUUCCUCCUCCUUCUUCAAUCCAUCCGUGGAUUUGCUGAUUGACAAAUGAGCUUCCCUGGUCUCCUUGUCAUGGCACUGUUUGGGGGAGUUUGUGGUCAGAGUUUUUAUCUGAGGACAAGAAACCAGGCUGCAGCCUGGGCUCAGCCUCUUAUCCAUUGUGGGGCUAAGGAAGAGUCCCUGUCCCCCAGUAUUCUCCAAUCCCAUCUGAUGUUAAAACCUCUUAAUGACCCUGAUCUAAGCAUUUCCAGAAAAAGGUUCUCAGGGCCUUUCUGGGGGUGGCGGGGGCAAUCCUUUGUGACAGCAUGAAAAGCCGGAUGGGGCUGGCCUGGUUGCAAUGGCACACGCUAGGUUCCAGGCACUCCACACGUUUCUCAUGAUAACCUCGUGGUUGAUACUCACACAGAUGAGGAGCUGAAAGGCUGCAGGAGCUGCCCACCAUCCUCACACAGCGUGGAAGUGGUAGCACCAAGACUGAGGCCCAGGAGGGGGGUCCAAAGGGCCAUCCUGCAUUUUCCAUUGCAGCAGGGUGGGAAGGAGAGGGAGAUAGAGACUUUACCUCUACUCUAAAUCACCUCCUUAGGUUGCCAUAUUUUCCUUACUUCAAUGAAUUAUGUGGAACAAAAUACACUCAAUUGGUAGCAGAAAUCGGCCUCCAGUUUCUCAGAUCCUCAUUCAACGAAAGCAUCCUUUGCAGGUGCCACUGCUUGGGAAUACACCUGUAAUUCACAUCUGCACACAAAACUCCAUCUUUCUUUGAGGCCUGAACAAACAGGUUUUUGUCGUUUUGUGGUUUUUGUUUGUUUGUUUGUUUAAGAGAUGGGGUCUCACUAUGUUGCCCAGGCUGGCCUCAAACUCCUGGGCUCAAGGGACCCUACUGCCUCAGCCUCCAGAGUAGCUGGGAUGACAGGUGCACACCACUGUGUCCAGCUUUACAAAUAGGUUUCUUAGGCUGACCUUAUCAAUCUCAACAUCAACACAAUUAAGGAAUUUGCUCACAAUAGUCUCCUGUUGGAGUCUUUACGUGCACGAACAUCGUUCUCACAGACCAUCCAAUAUGGACAAACUUGACUUGGAAACAGGAAAAUAGGGAGGUAAUUAAUCACCUGGUAAAAGGACACACCCCAGAUGUACUUUUCACAUCACCAUCCCCAAAUAUGCCUUAAGGGGCAUCAAGGUAACAUCCCAGCUUUAUACCACAUGAAUAGAGCUUCUCUAUUCAUGUGGUUUUCAGAACAUAUCCAUCUACUAGACUCAGGAACUUGACUUGAGAGACAUGGAUAUUUCUUGCUUCCUGGCAGCAAAUCCAACAGCAAUUCCAGUCCCUGCAGCCAGUUAGGCAGGGAGGAAAGGGCUGGUGUGUCAGGGCUGGUCCAAGCACACUGGUAUACUUGAGUCAACAUCUGCAGCAGAGGAAGGGAGACAGAGGGGACUGAAUAAACGGAGCUGUGCCAUUGGGAGUCCACCAAGCACGCCAAUGCCCUCCUACGCCCCUCAGCUCCAGGCCUCCUGGCCUCACACCACCCUAGAACAUUCUUGUUGCCCAAACCUCAGAGGAGGGCUUUCCCUGAACCAACUCUGACUUCCUGCUUCCUCUCUGACCCUACAUGGUGGUACUCCACCUCUGCCAGACAUCCCUUCCCUGCUCUGCCUGCAGCUUCAUCAAAGCCUACUGGGCCCUGGAGAAGAGAGCCAUGCCAAUCCCCCCUGCAGUGAGCUAGCACAGUGCAUUCAGGCCCGGGAGAAACACAGCUGGGAACUGGGACGCAGAGCUCACACUUCCUCACCUCUCCCUCCCAGGAGCCCUUCCCUGACACAUAGGAAAGGUGACAAUGAAACAGAGACAAAGAAGAGCUCCGAGGAGUAAACAAGCCUGCUCAGCGCUCAGCGUCGUUUAGGUGCUGGAGGGCCCAGGAAUUCUCCCCAGGUGCCCCGGGCAGUGUAGGACUCCUCAAUUUGCCUUUCCCCAGCAGCACAGUCGGUGACUGCCAAGGUGAGGAGCUUUGGGGAACUCCUGGAAGGUCUCACUAGUAUUUGAACUUUGCCCCACCCAACCCUGACCAGGGCCUCCCACCUCCUCCAGCCAGUCAUGUAGACUGGUAAUAACAAACACCCCAAAAUUUCAGUGGCCUGAGACAACAAAAGUGGAUUUCAUGCUCAUAGGACAUGUCCACUAAUUCUUCUCCUCAAUCCAGCUUUUUCAUCUCCAAAUUUAGCCUAAACUAACGGCACAG
rnacentral:lncRNA from 10 species